UUUCGCAAUGCCCGAAAGGGUGACGAAGCGACGCCGCGUGAGUGAGGAAGGCCUUCGGGUUGUAAAGCUCUGUCAGGAGUUAAGAAAUAUAAGUGUGCUAAUACCACAUUUAUUUGACGAAGGCUCCAAAGGAAGCCACGGCUAACUCUGUGCCAGCAGCCGCGGUAAUACAGAGGUGGCAAGCGUUGUUCGGAAUUAUUGGGCGUAAAGAGCACGUAGGUGGGUUUGUAAGUCAGAUGUGAAAGCCUUCUGUUCAACGGAAGAAUUGCAUCUGAAACUGCGAGUCUUGAGUGUAGGAGGGGAGAGAGGAACUUCUGGUGGAGCGGUGAAAUGCGUAGAUAUCAGAAGGAACGCCGGCGGCGAAAGCGACUCUCUGGCCUAUUACUGACACUCAGUGUGCGAAAGCUAGGGGAGCAAACGGGAUUAGAUACCCCGGUAGUCCUAGCCGUAAACGAUGGGCACUAAGUAGAGGGGUUUU
rnacentral:rRNA from 1 species